UUCCUGAUAGCUCAGUUGGUAAAGAAUCCGCCUGCAAUGCAGGAGACUCCAGUUUGAUUUCUGGGUCAGGAAG
rnacentral:tRNA from 1 species